UACGAAGGGGGCUAGCGUUGUUCGGAUUUACUGGGCGUAAAGCGCACGUAGGCGGAUCGUUAAGUCGGGGGUGAAAUCCUGGAGCUCAACUCCAGAACUGCCUUCGAUACUGUCGAUCUCGAGUCCGGAAGAGGUGAGUGGAACUCCUAGUGUAGAGGUGGAAUUCGUAGAUAUUAGGAAGAACACCAGUGGCGAAGGCGGCUCACUGGUCCGGUACUGACGCUGAGGUGCGAAAGCGUGGGGAGCAAACAGG
rnacentral:rRNA from 1 species